rnacentral:lncRNA from 1 species
UCAACUUGGUUUUGGCCAAACUUGGCCUGUUCCCCCUUGUUAUUCAAGAAAUUUGAUAGAUCGCUUCCACACCAUUAAUAAGGCAGAGGCAGAAGCUAUAGAUACUCGCAAUAUUCUUUUGACGAGUGACUUUUCAUUAGCCCCCUUCAAUCCUAGUCAUGUCAUCCAUCCCCUUUUUGAACAACUCUGGCCAUCAGUGCAGCGUAGAUUAUUUGCAACUGAUACCAAUUGCGUUUUUCAUUCACUGGAUCAGCCAGACAUUUCUUCCACUUCUCCUGUUUUGGUCACCCCUGUGUCCAUUAAGAGCCCUUCCUCUUCUGCUCGCGCUAAAUAGUUUGUUCGUCCAUCUAUUUCUCUUUCUACCAAGCCCACUGCAACUAAAAG